rnacentral:lncRNA from 1 species
AUGUGCUAGCAUGUUCAACUUGCAAACAUGGUUUAAUCAAAUUAAACCCAUGAUCAAUUCCCUUUGUGUGUGACCCAUUGGGUUCCACAUCUAGCUAGUAGUGAGUCCAGGUGCAAUUUAAACUAAUUUGGUUAGAACACAAUCUAGCCGAUUUAGGUCAAAUCAAGCUAAAUCGUUUUGAUCAAUCAGAACAGCUUUUAAUUAAUGAUCGAAUUAAACUCUUUAAUUUGAUCAAACUCACAAGAC